UACGUAGGGUGCAAGCGUUGUCCGGAAUUAUUGGGCGUAAAGAGCUCGUAGGCGGUCUGUCGCGUCGGCUGUGAAAACCCGGAGCUCAACUCCGGGCCUGCAGUCGAUACGGGCAGACUGGAGUUCGGCAGGGGAGACUGGAAUUCCUGGUGUAGCGGUGAAAUGCGCAGAUAUCAGGAGGAACACCGGUGGCGAAGGCGGGGUCUCUGGGCCGAUACUGACGCUGAGGAGCGAAAGCGUGGGGAGCAAACAGG
rnacentral:rRNA from 1 species